GAUGAACGCUGGCGGCGUGCCUAAUACAUGCAAGUCGAGCGAACAGACGAGGAGCUUGCUCCUCUGACGUUAGCGGCGGACGGGUGAGUAACACGUGGAUAACCUACCUAUAAGACUGGGAUAACUUCGGGAAACCGGAGCUAAUACCGGAUAAUAUAUUGAACCGCAUGGUUCAAUAGUGAAUGACGGUUUUGCUGUCACUUAUAGAUGGAUCCGCGCCGCAUUAGCUAGUUGGUAAGGUAACGGCUUACCAAGGCAACGAUGCGUAGCCGACCUGAGAGGGUGAUCGGCCACACUGGAACUGAGACACGGUCCAGACUGCUACGGGAGGCAGCAGUAGGGAAUCUUCCGCAAUGGGCGAAAGCCUGACGGAGCAACGCCGCGUGAGUGAUGAAGGUCUUCGGAUCGUAAAACUCUGUUAUUAGGGAAGAACAAAUGUGUAAGUAACUAUGCACGUAUUGACGGUACCUAAUGAGAAAGCAACGGCUAACUACGUG
rnacentral:rRNA from 1 species